rnacentral:rRNA from 1 species
UACGUAGGCAGCAAGCGUUGCUCGGAAUCACUGGGCGUAAAGGGCGCGUAGGCGGCCGAUUAAGUCGGGGGGUGAAAGCCUGUGGCUCAACCACAGAAUUGCCUUCGAUACUGGUUGGCUUGAGACCGGAAGAGGACAGCGGAACUGCGAGUGUAGAGGUGAAAUUCGUAGAUAUUCGCAAGAACACCAGUGGCGAAGGCGGCUGUCUGGUCCGGUUCUGACGCUGAGGCGCGAAAGCGUGGGGAGCAAACAGG